GUUAUUCAUCACUAACCUUAUAAUCAACCAAAACUAGAUGAGAAUUUGUGGAAUCUCUUUGGAUAGGUGGAUGAGAAUUCUAAAAAUGGAAUAAAGAAUCCAGUUGGCCAACUAUGGAGAAAGAUCACUAUAGAGACAGAAGAUGUGGGCUUAAUUUCCAGCUCCGUCAACCACUACUUAUAUGUUAUUGGGCAAAUCAUUCAACCUCUGGGCCAUAGUUUUCUCAACUAUAAAAAAGAGGGUUGGGCCAGGUGAUCAAUAAGAGAGAUGCCUUCCAGCUCUAUAUCCCCUGACUGCUAAUGAGACUUUCCAAUUCACAUCUCGUCCAACACAGGCAUGUUUGAGUUACUAAACCUUACAAAGUUGAGACAGACAUGGAAGAAGAUUCACAGAAGAAUGAGAGACAUGAUUCAAGAUAUGGAAGAUACAUUUUAAAAGGCAAAGAUCUGGAGAAGAGAAGAUACUUUCCUCAGAACAUUUGGAAGAAAAAGAAAUCUCUUCAAGUGAAUCAAGUAUGGUGUAAAAUCAUUAUGGCAAAUUUUCCUCACAUUCCAAAGUGAUGAAAACAAAAAAUUAAAAAAAAAGAUUAUCAGCAGAAUUCC